CCAAUUAUGUAUUCGUAAAGAAGAACCCAGCGCGUGCAAUUUCUAGAAACCCAAUAGGUUGAAUGACAAAAAAAGUUUCCGGUUGCAACAUUCACAGACUAAGAAAGAAAUACAUGACGUCUCUCCGUUCACUCGAUACGACAAUCCAAGCAGCAAGAAAACGACGUCCUCAACAGUGAUUUGAAAUAACGUCAUCACGGAGUCGAACACGACGUCAAGUAGAUAGAAAGUAGUACUCUACGUCUCUGUUGUCGUCUUCUUCAUAUGUCCCUUUCAAUCAUGAGACAACGAUGAAGGCAUGCGGAAGCACCCUUAUAGUGUGGGAUGGCUCCACAUCGUUGCUCAAGGACGAGGGUGUCAAUCCCUGCCAUCUAUCUUGUAAUUUUCUCUUCCAGAAUGGUUUGGAACUUCAGAAAAAGGGUGUUUCAAUUUAAUUGUAAAAGAAUUGGGAGUUUGAAUUUCGAUUUGGUAUUGGAUUUCAUCCAUUUCCCUUAUUUGAACCCUAAUUUCCCUUCUAUAUAUAGUUGCUUAUUAUUCACGGUUGAAACGGGGAGAAAAAAUAUUGAGAUGAAUUAGCUGGAAUUUGAGAGGAAAUACGAUAAAAUACUAGCUUAAAUGUUUACAUACAAAUAUUUAGGAAUAGGUUAUAGAAGUUGAGAGAGUGAGUUCGGCGUUGAUUGAGUCUUCUGCUAGAGUUCUAGUGUUGAUCGAAUCUUAUGCUCAUUUCACAUGAGUUCACUAGAGUCGUCGAUUGUAGUGGUUGAAGCUCGUUCUGUCUAGGUUGCUGUCCCAAAAAAAGUCCAUGAUGGGCUUAUCUUCCUUGCAUCUCCGAGUCGAGCCAUAUUACUUUAUUGCUCAAGUCAACUAUCAGAAAAUUUAAAUACAUGCUUUCUGAGGUUAAACAAAGCUAGAAUUUGAAUUUUGAAGCUCCGAAAUGUCCAAAAAAGGGGCUGUAUACACUAAUUGACUUGACGUAUACAGUGAUAUACAACUUCUUCAUUGCUCAAAGUGCUCUAUGCUCAAGUUCAACAGGGCUUGGAGAAAAGAGAAGAGAAGAGGAAGAAGGAAGGAAGAUCAACAUUUCGCCAAGAACGCCAAUAGAUUCCGGUGGAAUUCGUCGGGGAUGAUCCCUAUUGAGAUAACCAUGUCUCCACGAAGAGCAGCAAGAGGUCGUCAAGCUAUGAGGAACAUUGAACCUUAGAAAAGUAACUACCCAAUGCACCUGAAGUGCAACCACAAGGAGAAGUUGCUAAUGUCGAGUUCAUAGAGGCAAUUAGGAUGUUGAGUCAAGCUGUGACUAACCAGGUUGGUUGACAAAGGGGAACUCAACAAGAAGGGGCUGACACUUUGAGGAUUCGAGAAUUCUUGAGGAUGAAUCCCCCAAGUUUUUCUUGUUCAAGCACUACCAAGAAUUCGGAAAACAGUGUAGAAGAGUUGAAUAAAAAUUUGAUAUGAUGCAUGUCAUUGGUGUUGAGAGAGUCAAACUGGAUGCAUACUAACUAAAGAAUAAUGCUAGGACUUGGUACGACCAGUAGAAGGAGGGCAGAGAUGAGAAUGUACCACAUCCGAAUUGGGCUUGCUUUGAAGAAGCUUUCUUGGGGAAUUAUUCCACGAGAAUUGAAAGAGGACAAUGUACGUGAUUUCCUCACAAUUAAGAAGGACUCACUCAUUGUGCAUGAGUAUGGAUUGAAAUUCACCCAACUAUCUCGUUAUGCUCCAAAGAUGGUAACUGACAUGAGGAGUACGAUGAGUUAAUUUGUUGCUGGCUUGGGUCAUGCUUCAAGUAAAGAGGAAUGGGUUGCAAUGCUUAUUAGAGACAUGGACAUUUCGAUGUUAAUAUAUGUACAAUAGGUAGAGGAGGAAAAUCUGAGGGACAGAUAAGAGUAUAGUAAAAGAUAGCCAAGACCGAAAUGAGUCUGGGCAAUAGAAAGGUGGUUCGAAUUGGCUACAGUUUCAGAAUUAAAGGGGGGUUGCACUAUUAUUUGCUAAUGCACCUACGCCUAGAGACAGAGUUGAAUCAUCGUCAUAACUCCCGAGCAGUGCAUAUUCACAGGGUAGUGUGGCGCAUGGAGGUAGUAAGCCUCCUGCUUGCACAAGGUGUGGUAGGAAUCAAUCCGGUGAUUGUCGUGAUGGCUCCAUAGGUUGCUUCAAGUGUGGUCAUACCGGGAAUUUUAUGAGGAAGUUCCCAAAGAAUAAGCAAGGCGGUGGUAAUGGGGUAAACAGAGCUCAAUCUUUAUCAGUUGCUCCACCGACAUGGUUGCACCUAAGGGAAUUACUUUUGGUGCUGGCGGAGGAACAAAUAACUUGUAUUCUCUCAACAGUCGCCAAGAACAGGAAAAUUCGCUAGACGUUGUCACUAGUAUGAUUCAAGUCUUUGACUUUACUGUUUAUGCAUUGCUAGACCCAAGAGCCAGUUUAUCUUUUGUAACUCCAUAUGUAACCAUGAACUUUGAUACUAUCCUGAGAAACUGACUGAACCAUCCUAUGUUUCCACACCUGUUGGUGAAUCCAUUCUAGAAGAAAGAGUCUAUCAUGAUUGUCAUGUUCCGUCAGUCACAACAGUACCAUAGCUGAAUUAAUUGAACUAGACAUUAUACAUUUUGAUAUCA